rnacentral:rRNA from 1 species
AUCCUGGCUCAGGAUGAACGCUGGCGGUCUGCUUAACACAUGCAAGUCGAACGCAACCUUCGGGUUGAGUGGCGGACGGGUGAGUAACGCGUGAGAAUCUGCCUUGGGGUCGGGGACAACCACUGGAAACGGUGGCUAAUACCGGAUAAGCCUUUGGGUAAAAGAUUUAUUGCCCCAAGAGGAGCUCGCGUCUGAUUAGCUAGUUGGUGAGGUAAAAGCUCACCAAGGCAGCGAUCAGUAGCUGGUCUGAGAGGACGAUCAGCCACACUGGGACUGAGACACGGCCCAGACUCCUACGGGAGGCAGCAGUGGGGAAUUUUCCGCAAUGGGCGAAAGCCUGACGGAGCAAGACCGCGUGAGGGAGGAAGGCUCUUGGGUUGUAAACCCCUUUUCUCAGGGAAGAAGCUCUGACGGUACCUGAGGAAUCAGCCUCGGCUAACUCCGUGCCAGCAGCCGCGGUAAUACGGAGGAGGCAAGCGUUAUCCGGAAUUAUUGGGCGUAAAGCGUCCGCAGGUGGCGAUUCAAGUCUGCUGUCAAAGCACGGGGCUUAACUCCGUUAAGGCAGUGGAAACUGAAUAGCUAGAGUGCCGUAGGGGUAGAGGGAAUUCCCGGUGUAGCGGUGAAAUGCGUAGAGAUCGGGAAGAACAUCGGUGGCGAAAGCGCUCUACUGGACGGCAACUGACACUCAGGGACGAAAGCUAGGGGAGCGAAUGGGAUUAGAUACCCCAGUAGUCCUAGCUGUAAACGAUGGAUACUAGGUGUAGCUUGUAUCGACCCGAGCUGUGCCGAAGCUAACGCGUUAAGUAUCCCGACUGGGGAGUACGCACGCAAGUGUGAAAAUCAAAGGAAUUGACGGGGGCCCGCACAAGCGGUGGAGUAUGUGGUUAAUUCGAUGCAACGCGAAGAACCUUACCAGGGCUUGA